CAACACUUCCGGGAGGUAGAUCGUAAGGCUAUUAAGGAGACAGGCCGGAAUUCCACGUCGUGCACUUAAUCUCCUCACUGUGCUGCCUGAAGAGUAAUGAGGAAGGAAUUUGAAACACUAAAGGGGGAGAAACUGGCUCUAUCUUUAUCUUUAGAAUCAGAGAGUGAAAAAGGAAGGAAGCUGACGAUCAGAAAAGUCACGCCGGAUCAGAAAAGUCACGCCAGAUGAGAGCUCGCGAUCGCCCUAAGCAGCGUCUAGUCCAGGGAAUGGCCGGCCAGUCUGGAUGGGACAGAACACCUGGAGGAGGACCCCGGCAGCCAGUUAGGAAGAAAACUCGCCGUCAGGGAAUUCUUUCUCCCAAGUGGCAACAACCCAAUAGAGGACCAGGAAGACUCUUCACCUGUCAAAUCCUGUCCCUUCAGAACUGUUGGAAUACCAAGCCGAAGAGCAACGACACUGAGGGACUACAGAAGGCACGACUUUAUUUAAAACUGACUCAGGGUAAGAGAUAGGUCAUAUGAUUUUCCUUAAUUGUUCUUAAAUAACAACAAAAAUAAUUGCUAAUAUUUUGAUAAUUUUUAAUGUAUUGGCAUAAAGUUAUUCAUACUAUCCUCUUAUUUUUUUAACAUUUUCAAAAAUGUUUUAUUGUAAAAUAAUUUCAUAAUUAUAGGAAGGCUGUAAGAAUAAUACAGGGAACUCCCAUAGACCCCUCAUUCAGAUUCAUAUGAAUAUAUUCAAUAUUCUACCUGUAUAUACUUUAUAUGUAUAUAUAUUAUUAUUAUUAUUUAUUUUUUGAGACAGAGUCUCGUUCUGUCACCCAGACUGGAGGGCAGUGGCACAGUCUCUGCUCACUGCAACCUCCACCUCCCGGGUUCACGCGAUUCUCCUGCCUCAGCCUCCAGAGUAGAUGGGAUUACAGGUAUACACCACCAUGCCAGCUAAUUUUUUUGUUUUUUGUUUUUUUUUUUUAGUAGAGAUGGGGUUUCACUAUGUUGGCCGGACUGGUCUUGAACUCCUGGCCUUGUGCUCCACUCAUCUUGGCCUCCCAAAGUGCUGGGAUUACAGGUAUGAGCCACUGCGCCUGGCCUAUUUAUUAUUUUUACUUCAUUUUUUAUAUAUUUAGUUAUUUUAUGCAUACAUACAAACAUAUAUUUAUU
rnacentral:lncRNA from 10 species